AAAUUGAAGAGUUUGAUCAUGGCUCAGAUUGAACGCUGGCGGCAGGCCUAACACAUGCAAGUCGAGCGGUAGCACAGAGAGCUUGCUCUCGGGUGACGAGCGGCGGACGGGUGAGUAAUGUCUGGGAAACUGCCUGAUGGAGGGGGAUAACUACUGGAAACGGUAGCUAAUACCGCAUAAUGUCGCAAGACCAAAGUGGGGGACCUUCGGGCCUCAUGCCAUCAGAUGUGCCCAGAUGGGAUUAGCUAGUAGGUGGGGUAACGGCUCACCUAGGCGACGAUCCCUAGCUGGUCUGAGAGGAUGACCAGCCACACUGGAACUGAGACACGGUCCAGACUCCUACGGGAGGCAGCAGUGGGGAAUAUUGCACAAUGGGCGCAAGCCUGAUGCAGCCAUGCCGCGUGUGUGAAGAAGGCCUUCGGGUUGUAAAGCACUUUCAGCGGGGAGGAAGGCGGUGAGGUUAAUAACCUCACCGAUUGACGUUACCCGCAGAAGAAGCACCGGCUAACUCCGUGCCAGCAGCCGCGGUAAUACGGAGGGUGCAAGCGUUAAUCGGAAUUACUGGGCGUAAAGCGCACGCAGGCGGUCUGUCAAGUCGGAUGUGAAAUCCCCGGGCUCAACCUGGGAACUGCAUUCGAAACUGGCAGGCUAGAGUCUUGUAGAGGGGGGUAGAAUUCCAGGUGUAGCGGUGAAAUGCGUAGAGAUCUGGAGGAAUACCGGUGGCGAAGGCGGCCCCCUGGACAAAGACUGACGCUCAGGUGCGAAAGCGUGGGGAGCAAACAGGAUUAGAUACCCUGGUAGUCCACGCCGUAAACGAUGUCGAUUUGGAGGUUGUGCCCUUGAGGCGUGGCUUCCGGAGCUAACGCGUUAAAUCGACCGCCUGGGGAGUACGGCCGCAAGGUUAAAACUCAAAUGAAUUGACGGGGGCCCGCACAAGCGGUGGAGCAUGUGGUUUAAUUCGAUGCAACGCGAAGAACCUUACCUGGUCUUGACAUCCACAGAACUUAGCAGAGAUGCUUUGGUGCCUUCGGGAACUGUGAGACAGGUGCUGCAUGGCUGUCGUCAGCUCGUGUUGUGAAAUGUUGGGUUAAGUCCCGCAACGAGCGCAACCCUUAUCCUUUGUUGCCAGCGGUUCGGCCGGGAACUCAAAGGAGACUGCCAGUGAUAAACUGGAGGAAGGUGGGGAUGACGUCAAGUCAUCAUGGCCCUUACGACCAGGGCUACACACGUGCUACAAUGGCAUAUACAAAGAGAAGCGACCUCGCGAGAGCAAGCGGACCUCAUAAAGUAUGUCGUAGUCCGGAUUGGAGUCUGCAACUCGACUCCAUGAAGUCGGAAUCGCUAGUAAUCGUAGAUCAGAAUGCUACGGUGAAUACGUUCCCGGGCCUUGUACACACCGCCCGUCACACCAUGGGAGUGGGUUGCAAAAGAAGUAGGUAGCUUAACCUUCGGGAGGGCGCUUACCACUUUGUGAUUCAUGACUGGGGUGAAGUCGUAACAAGGUAACCGUAGGGGAACCUGCGGUUGGAUCACCUCCUUACCUUAAAGAA
rnacentral:rRNA from 1 species